CUUACACAUGCAAGUCGAACGGGAAAUCUUUAGCUUGCUAGAGAAAGUAAAGUGGCGCACGGGUGAGUAACGCGUGGGUAAUCUGCCUCCGAAUCGGGGAUAACAUUGCGAAAGCGAUGCUAAUACCGGAUAAAAUCUGGUUGGCUUCGGUGAACCGGAUCAAAGGUGGUCUCUUUAUAAAAGCUACCGUUUGGAGAUGAGCUCGCGUACCAUUAGCUAGUUGGUGAGGUAAAGGCUCACCAAGGCGACGAUGGUUAGCUGGUCUGAGAGGACGAUCAGCCACACCGGAACUGGAACACGGUCCGGACUCCUACGGGAGGCAGCAGUGAGGAAUUUUGCGCAAUGGGGGAAACCCUGACGCAGCAACGCCGCGUGAGUGAUGAAGGCUUUCGGGUCGUAAAGCUCUGUCAGGUGGGAAGAACCCACCAAGUGUUAAGACCACUUGGUGCUGACGGUACCACCGAAGGAAGCACCGGCUAACUCCGUGCCAGCAGCCGCGGUAAUACGGGGGGUGCGAGCGUUAUUCGGAAUCAUUGGGCGUAAAGGGCGCGCAGGCGGUUUUGUAAGUCAGAUGUGAAAUCCCGGGGCUUAACCCCGGAAGUGCAUAUGAAACUAUGAGACUUGAGUAUGGGAGAGGGAAGCGGAAUUCCUGGUGUAGCGGUGAAAUGCGUAGAUAUCAGGAGGAACACCGGUGGCGAAGGCGGCUUCCUGGACCAAUACUGACGCUGAGGCGCGAAGGCGUGGGGAGCGAACCAGGAUUAGAUACCCUGGUAGUCCACGCAGUAAACGUUGAUCACUAGGUGUAGCGGGUAUUGACCCCUGCU
rnacentral:rRNA from 1 species